rnacentral:rRNA from 1 species
GCCUGCCCAAUGGUUGUAUCUAAAAGCGGUUGAUAAAAGUCGACCGUGUAAGGACAAUUGAAUGGCCGCGGUAACACUGACCGUGAUAAUGUAGCGUAAUCAAUAGCCAAUUAAUUGUUGGCCAGUAUGAAUGGCGCCACGAAGGCCCCACUGUCUUAAGGAAAUUCCCAGUGAAAUUGAAUUCGUAGUGAAGAUGCUACGUCCAAUUUGUUAGACGAAAAGACCCCGUUGAGCUUUACUGGGGCACUUACACGGCCCCGGCCUUCAAGACUGGGUUGAUAAGCCAAGGCUUACCAUACCUAGGGACCGGCCGAAUUUAAAUGGGCGGCUUAGACUAUGUGGCAGCCCCCCCCGUCGGGGCAGAUGAAACCCCACUCCCCCAUGUCAAAGGGGCUAACCCCCCCCCCUUGGGGGGGGACAAUGUAAGUAGGACAGUUUGGUUGGGGCGACCGCCUUUUAGAGAGUAACGAAGGUGCGCUUAAGGUGCGUAAUUAAUGACUGAAGCCUGACUGCGAGGGGGAUACCCCGAGCAGACACCCCCAAGCCCGCCCGAGAAGGCUUUGCCUUCUGGGCGGCGGUGGGGUGGGCCAUAGUGACCCGUUAAUUUAGAGUGGAAUAG